rnacentral:rRNA from 1 species
GAUGAACGCUGGCGGCGUGCCUAAUACAUGCAAGUCGAGCGAACGGACGAGAAGCUUGCUUCUCUGAUGUUAGCGGCGGACGGGCGAGUAACACGUGGAUAACCUACCUAUAAGACUGGGAUAACUUCGGGAAACCGGAGCUAAUACCGGAUAAUAUUUUGAACCGCAUGGUUCAAAAGUGAAAGACGGUCUUGCUGUCACUUAUAGACGGAUCCGCGCUGCAUUAGCUAGUUGGUAAGGUAACGGCUUACCAAGGCAACGAUGCAUAGCCGACCUGAGAGGGUGAUCGGCCACACUGGAACUGAGACACGGUCCAGACUCCUACGGGAGGCAGCAGUAGGGAAUCUUCCGCAAUGGGCGAAAGCCUGACGGAGCAACGCCGCGUGAGUGAUGAAGGUCUUCGGAUCGUAAAACUCUGUUAUUAGGGAAGAACAUAUGUGUAAGUAACUGUGCACAUCUUGACGGUACCUAAUCAGAAAGCCACGGCUAACUACGUG